UACGGAGGGUGCAAGCGUUGCUCGGAAUUAUUGGGCGUAAAGGGUAGGUAGGUGGUCUUAUUUGUCUGGGGUGAAAGCCUUGGGCUUAACCCAAGAAGUGCCCCAGAAACGGUAAGACUAGAGUCCUGGAGAGGGUCGUGGAAUUCCCGGUGUAGCGGUGAAAUGCGUAGAGAUCGGGAGGAACACCAGAGGCGAAGGCGGCGACCUGGACAGGCACUGACGCUGAGACGCGAAAGCGUGGGGAGCGAACAGG
rnacentral:rRNA from 1 species